rnacentral:rRNA from 1 species
ACAAAAACAUCUUUUCUUGUUAGUUUUUGAAGUAUGGCCUGCCCGCUGACUUGAAGUGUUGAAGGGCCGCGGUAUUUUGACCGUGCAAAGGUAGCAUAAUCAUUAGUUCUUUAAUUGUGAUCUGGAAUGAAUGGCUUGACGAGACACGAGCUGUCUUAAGUUGUGAAUAUUUUAUUGAAUUUGGUUUUUGAGUUAAAAUUCUUAGAUGUUUUUUUGGGACGAGAAGACCCUAUAGAGUUUAACAUUUGGUCUAUUUUUCUUAUUGUUUGUUUUGUUUAAUUGAGUGGGCUUAUUAUGUUUUGUUGGGGCGAUGAGAGGGAUAUAGUUUAACCCCUCUUUAUUUUGGUUAUAUUAAUUUAUAGUUGCUUGAUCCAUUGAUUUUGAUUAUAAGAUUAAAUUACCUUAGGGAUAACAGCGUUAUCUUCCUUGAGAGUUCUUAUCGGCAGGGGGGUUUGCGACCUCGAUGUUGGAUUAAGGUGAAUUUUUGGUGUAGGGGCUGAAAGUUUAUUAG